AGGCAUCUGGUCUAGUGGUAUAUCUCUUGCUCUGGUUGCAAGAAGUCUUGGGUUCAAUUCUUAGGAUGGCUU
rnacentral:tRNA from 1 species